rnacentral:lncRNA from 10 species
CAUUUGUAUAAAUGUAUAUAUAUUAACUUUUGAAAAACAUAAAAGCAGGUAUUUAUCUUAAGUAGCUUCUGGAAAGGCCAAAUACAAAUGUAUGCAUUUUAGUGCCUUAAAAACACUCCAAUACGUGCAAUUAUUUUUAAUGAAUUCAGUAUUAUUUCUACUAUAAAUUCUUGGCAAAAUUGGUGAGAAUUUUGUGAAGGAAGUUUUGUUCUUGCUCUCUGAACUAUAAGAUGUUUUGAAACGUCUUAAAGAACAGGAGGAAUAAGACUAGGAGUUGCUUUAAAGGCUGUCUUCAUCUCUGCAACUUUACAGCCCAAAUACUUUUGGCAUUCAACAAAACUGAGUUCAAAUCCAGGCUCUGCUAUGUUUAAUAGAGCACUAAAUGGGCUUCUAAGCCUCUUGGAGCUUCGGUAAAAUGAGACGGAUAAUAUUGACCUUAGUGUGAAAAUUGGGUUAAAUUAGGAAAAACAAAUGAGAUAAUGGGAUUGAGUGAAAAUGAGGAUAACUCUUACUUUAGCAGAAGGAUUAAAUUAAAUAAUGUCAGACCAGGUGUGGUGGUGGCCCACACCUGUAAUCCUAGCAUUCUGGGAGGCCAAGGUGGGUGGAUCUCUUGAGCCCAGGAGUUUGAGACUAGUCUGAGUAAAAUAGCAAGACUCCAUCUAUACUAACAAUAAUAAUAAUAAUAAUAAUAAUAAUAAAUUAGCAGAAGGUGGUGGCGAAUGCCUGUAGUCCCAGCUACUGGAGAGGCUGAGGUGGGAGGAUCCCCUGAGCCAGGAAAGUUGAGGCUGCAGUGAGCUAGAAUCACACCACUGCACCCCAGCCUGGGUGACAGAGUGAGAUCCUUCAUAGACAUUAUCUGAUUUUUUUUUAGCCUUCAGCAGAAUUUUUUUUUUUUAAAUAAAAUUAGAUAAUGUCUGUGAAGUGCUCAGCUCCCUGCCUGGCUGUCGUAGUUGCUGGAGAAGAGACACAUCACCGAGGGGCAUUGAAGGGGACUUUCGCUGAAUGGCGGUAUGAUAUGACUGGCGGUGGGCUUCUUUGGCCAGCCUAGUUAGGAUGGCCCGGGUGGGCAGGAGUUGGAGAUCAGCCUGGCCAACAUGGCAUGCCCCAACGUUAGCAGCUUAAACCAACAAUGCCUGGUUAUUUUCCACACACCUGUGAGUUUUCUGCUUAGACCUGUGUGUGAAGCCUGGGCUCACACUGCAGCUGCAGUCAGUGUGCUGGCUGGCAGGACGAAGGGCUCACCUGCACACUGAGUGCAUCGGGCAUAGCGGAUGCUGUUCCUCUUCUUUGCAAGGCCUUUCUCUCCAAGCUUCUUUGCAGAAUGGAGGCUCACAGCUGUGUCCCAAGCGGCCAAGCUCUGGGGUCUUGUGCUCCCUCCCUUGAACAAUGCUUGCAUCCUGCUGGCUGCGCUGUGUUUGCAUCAUGUGCUCCAAAGUCCCACUGGCCAAGUCCAGAUUCAAUGUAGACAAGAAAUACACAGCAAAUGAGAGUUGAGCAGGGCUAUUCUUGGAGUGUCUUCAUCUAUUGGGGCUUCUAUAACAAAGUACUUCAGACGAUUAGGCAAUUUAUGAACAACAGAAAUGCAUUGCUCACAGUCCUGGAGGCUGGACAGAUCAAAGAGGCAGCAGAUUUUUGAGCAGGUCAGGUCCUGUUUCUCAUAGAUGGUGCCUUCUCUGUAUCUUCUUGUGGUGGGAGAGGCAAACACCCUCCCUCAAGCCCUUUUGUCGGGCCACUAACCCCAUUCAUGGGCACUUCACCUUCACGGCUUCAUCACUUCCCAAAAACCCCACUCUUAAUCUUCAUGGGCAUUAGCUUCCAAAAUAUGAAUUUUGGAGAGAAACAUACCUUCAGAUCACGUAGUAAUCUAACAAAGUGCAACCUUAUAUUUACAAAUAAGGAAACUGUGGCUCGUAGACAUUAAGAACCUUGCCUGGCUGGGCAUGGUGGCUCACACCUGGCAAUUUGGGAGACCAAGGUGGGAAGAUUGCUUGAGCCCUGAAGUUCAAGACCAGCAGGGGCAACAUAGUGAGUCCCUGUCUCUACAAAAAAUAAAAGAAAAUAGGCUGGGCAUGGCGGCACAUCCCUGAAACCUCCGCGCUUUGGGAGGCCAAGGCAGGUGGAUCAGGUACUUGAAACGGCCCCUUCUUCAGCAGCUCAGGCUGCUGAAACAGAACACCGCAGCCUGGGUGCUUCAACAAAAAGAAAAAUGCAUUUCCUCUCAGCUCUGGAGACGGAAAGUCCAAGAUUGAGGUGCCAGCAGGGUUGAUGUCUGACAAGGCCUCUCCCCUCGGGUUCAAAGGGCCACCUUCUCAGUGUCCUCACAUGGCCUUCCCUUUGUGGGCAUGGGAGAGAAAGCGAUCUCUGGUCUUCUUCCUGUUCUUGUAAGGACACCCGUCCUAUUGGAUUAGGGGCCCGACCUUAUGACAUCAUUUAAUCUGAAUGACCUCCUUAAAUGCCCUAUCUCCAAAUACAGUCACAUUUGGGGUUAGGACUUCAAUAUUUGGAUUUGAGGGGACGUGAUUCAGUCCAUAGCAGGCUGUAUUGUCUAGAGGAAGCUUGGCAAGAGCUGGGCCGGUAUCACUCAGGCUGUGUAAGGUCCAGGCCCUCGGAGGCCACUGCUCACGUCCAAGCAUGAGCCUUGCAGGAGACCCUCAGAGGCUGACUUCCAGCUGCAGCACCCCUAAAAUGUGUUCCCAUGCACUCCACACCUUUGCUUUGCAUUCAAACAACUAAAAAUAGCAAUAAAUAAAUAAAUAAAUAAACAAAUAGGGGCUAAAAUCUUUAAGACUUCACACACACACACAAUUUCAAAAGACUGCUUGUUAGUCAAGAGCUACUAGAAAUGACUUCUCUGUUAUUGUUACUUAUUUUAAAAUUACUCUACAUAAGGGAUCUCCUAUAUAGCUCGCAUAUACAUUAAACUGAAAUGGUUUCUUCCCUUCAGCUCCGCACUAAAAUCCAAACUCAAGAGAGCGGAGAUUUUGUUUGUUUACUCAUGUUGUAAUCCUGGUGCAUAGAACAUAUUGCUCUGCACACAGUAGGUGCUCACUAACUGCUGUUUGGUUGGAGAAUGAAUGAGGGCAGAAACGUGCAUGUGCCUAAGUACUUUCUGAUUCUUUGUCUCUUAGAGAGAUCAUAUUUUGCUCUUGUAUUGAAAAUGACUUUGCAUGUUCAACUAAAAUGAUGUGUUCAGGCAGACACACGCUCAUGUUGCUUGGCAAUGAAACACCGGCGCCUAAAUGUGUUCUUAGACAUUUGUUGAAUAAAAUGAUAGGUGAAAGAGUCAAUGAGAUUGGAAUAGACUAAGAUGAGUGGGAAGACUUUCGCUAAGUGACAUUUUUGAAGCAGCAUUUUAAGACUGACCGGGUCAUUGUGUGCAGAAGUCUUGAGCACCGGAGAAGGGAGAGCAUGGCUGGAGGGAGGAAAGGUUGGAGGCAGAGCCCAGACCAGCCUGAGACAGGGAGGGCAGAAGCAGCGCAGCGCCUGGGAACACCCAACAGAAGGGACAUAUCGGGGCAUCACUGAGAGGGCGAAGGGGAAAGUCUUCUUGGUUUUUGAAAAGAAGAAAGUAUUUAGGUCGAGAGGAAGAGAACAAACUUUUUUUAUUUUUUAGAUGCAGUCUCACUCUGUCACCCAGGCUGGAGUACAGUGGUGCCAUCAUAGCUCACUGCAGCCUUGACCUCCUGGGGGCAAGAGAUCCUCCCACCUCAACCUCCCCAGCAGCAGGGGUCACAGGUGGCUCUGGAGAAAAAGAAGCCUCAGCAUCAGCACCACACAGAUCAUCUGAGUCCUAGAGCCCAACCAGCCUUGGAGGCCACAUGGUACGAAACAGCAGCCAGACACCAAGGUACUUGGUACCAAGACAAUACUCCUGAUCUCCAUCAUGAACCAAUCUAUGCCUUAUGGGUGAGCUCCCAUGAACCCGAGGAGGAACCACGGAUGUGAGCUGGCUCGUGCACCUUGUCCAUUCCCUGCCUGAGAGGCCUCUUCUGAGUGCCCAGGUGAGGCUGCACAAGCCUCUGGGGUACUUCCUUCACAUUCCUUUCCCUUUUCAAUAUCUACAGGCAUUUAUGCUCCAGGCAUCUGUAAUCCCAAUGCUUUGGGUGGCUGAGGCAGGAGGAUCACUUGAGGCUAGGAGUUUGAGACCACCCUGGGCAACAUAGUGAGAACUUGUCUCUACUAAAAAAAAAAAAAAAAAAUGUAGCUGGGAGUGGUGGUGUGCACCUUUAGUCCCAGCUAUCUGGGAGGCUGAGACAAGAGAAUCGCUUGAGCCUGGGAGGUCAAUGCUGCAGUAAGCCGUGAUUCCACCACUGCACUCCAACCUAGGUGACAGAGUGAGAUCCUAUCUAUGUCAAAACAAAGCCAAAAAGCCUUUAUACAUCUCUUGGUUUUCAAAUGAACGCUUAUAUAAAAGCCUGCUGUAUAAAGCAGAUCUAAGUAGACCUGCCCAGUUUAUGCACAGAUCAGUGAGGGACAGAGCGGGGAACCGGGUGGCUGGGAGGAAAACAUGGGCACGUGCACCUUCAGUCCUAGCUGCUGUCCGGGCUGGUGAAGGAUAAGGCGAGGCUGAGACUCUCAGACUCCGAAUACAAACAGUAUCAUCCGGUUUCUGAUUUGUUAGGGUGAAAAGGGAGAAAUACAAUGUGACCAGUCUAUUCUGGGCCCACAAUGUAUUAGCAAUUACCUCCCAACCACCACCCUGCAACAUAGUAUUCAGAUUAAAUUUCCCUGGGAGAACAGACUGCAAGGCAUGGAAAGCACCUUUUACAAAAUUAGGGACCUGUGGAUUUCCAGAAGCUAAAAAUGAUAACGGGCUUUUAUUAGGAACCCAACAGGGGGCCAUAACCACUCCUAAAAAACCUUAUUAGAUGCAGCCCACACAGGCAUUCUGCAAGGAGAUCUCCGUCCCCAGGGCAUAUUCCUUUCCCAGGAGUGGAGUGGACGGUGCUAGGACCCAACAGCACACAUGUGCAAAGUGUUUGGCCAGUGUUCUGGAACGCAGCCUGUGGCUCUUCAAUAAAACUUUCCUCAGAGCAAACAAGCAGGCUCUAGAGGUAAUCACACAUAGUCUCUUAUUCCCAUUAGCAACCCCAAACAAGCAAGUGGCCUUACCCAAAUAGUAGAGAAGCCUAGGUUAUUUUUAAAUCUGCUCAGUUGAGUGUGUUUCAGAAUUUGUGAUUUCCUAACAACAAAAAGCUUGGUACCACUGUUGAAAUGACAGGAGAAUUCCGAAGCAGGCGGAGCAAGGAGAGAGAGAGGCAACCUAGGGCAAGGCUCGCAUUACAGAUGAAGGCAAAGAAGGAAGCCCUAUGUAGAGGAGACUCUUUCUGUCUUUGGAAAGUCUGAUGAAAAUCGGGUCUAGAAAACCAGCUAUGACUUUGGAGAUGAACAGAGGAAUGCAUUAGGCGGCUUUUCUCUCAACGUAUUUGGCUUCCUGUAUAUUUAAAAAUAAAUGUCUUCCAAACUAGCUUCGAGGACUGCAUCCACGAAAGCAGCCUGGCUGCAAAGCCCAGGAGGUCGCAGCAAGUCAGGGAGGUGGAGGCCUCUUGGUUUUCCAUCAUAUUUCUCUGGAGGCUUCAGGUGCUCCAGGAGGGCACCGCCUGCUGAGUCGGUUCAAGUCAACACGACACAGCUGGAAACCCCACAGCCUGGGCAGUUGAGCCGCCGCUGUGUGGUGGGAACACUGCACCCCCUCUGAGCUCCCGCCACCCAGCCUUCCCAAGCCACGCUGCCACCCUCCUGCAGACCUGGGUGAAGAGGGGCAAGAGGCUGUCCUACAGAGAUGCUGAGGGUGACAGCUGCAGAAUCACCAAACCUUGCUUGGCUGAAAACAAACGUGAAUUCCACAUUUUAAUAAAACAGAAAUUUUAAUCUUCUGGACACCUGAUGAUACAAGUCAACCUAUUUCUUCUGAAUCGCAUCUGAAACCAGGAGUUAUCACAUAUUUCAAGAUAAAACCGGACCGGGCUUUAAAUGUAUGAUAUUAUUUCAUAAUAAAAUUUACUUUUUAAUAUACCUAAUAACUGAAAACCUAAUGCUACAGUCCGCCAUGCUUUAAAGAGACUCACGUAAUGACCUGAAGGAAAAUUUCCCUCUGAGAUAGUCAUUUCUUGGACAACUCCUUUCAUCUGUAAAGGAGGAAAUGAGUCAGCUUUACUAAGCGUUAUCUCAUGAUUGGUGUUUUGUUAUUCAGUAGGCAGAGAACACAUUUUGUUACCUAUAAAGCCUGUUAUUACCAAGGGUACAGGUCACUACUGAAACCUCCUCUUCAAACAACUACAGGUACUGUUGUCAAAGAUCUUAACAGACUCUGAUUGGAAAAGCGCCUGGCUGGUCACAGGACUGCAUGACUCACCGCUCUGUUCAGCAUUAGCUAAACACAAAGCUGAAAGAACAGAAUCAGCUUCAUGAUGUCAUUUCUUCUCUAUGUGUCUUUAACAUCGCUGAGAUAUGUUAGAGGUUGUUGAGUAAUACACGAAGCUUUCAAAUAAGAAGAAUGUGUCUGAGAUACUUAGAGUAAGAACACAUUUCAGGGUUAUGUUUGAAUAUAAACAUAAUACAUGCUCCAGGAAUUCAGGGUUUGUGUUAUUUGUUGAUACAAAGUGUUCCGCAAGGUUUUAGAGCAUAUACACUAAUCACCUAGGUUGGUUAAAGUUUAACUCAACUGAAAUAUUUUGGACUUAAAGAACCACUUAAGAUAUCAAGUUCUCAGAACUGAUUGAAAAGAAAGAGCUCUCAUCUACAGUUACCUGAAACAUACCAAAAAUUUCCCUGCAAAGAUCAUAAAUGUUUCAGAAUCAAGGAGAAAUAUGAAUACUGUUUCCAUAUAGGUGGUGGGAUACAUUAGUACCUUUCUCUCUUCUUUCUAUUCUUUACAUAUAUUUAAGGAGCAGCCAUUGCUUUUCUAGUUUAAAAAAAAAGUAGAAAAAAAAGUUUUUCGUUUUUCUCAGUUAGCUCUCUAUGGUGAAAAACUCAAAAGCCAAAAUGAUGGACUCAGUAAGUUGACAGCCACCUUAAAUCUGUGUUGACACCUUUCUUUGUAAUGUCAGCAAAACUGUGUGACUGAAGAUGAGAUCACUGUUUACCUAGCUCUGCUAUUGGUCUGAAACGAGCAAGUGUGAAAGAAAUUCCCAUAUUUAUCUGUUGGUGUAACCCUUGCAGCAAUCUCUCCUAAGAAGUUGAAUCACUCAUUUUGGUAAGACCCAGCCAAAGAUGAAGAAAGUAUAUUUAAUCCAGCUGAUGAGACGACUUACUUGGGCCAGAUUUAGUUGGAAAGUUGCAUGCUGGGGCAGGGUAGGGAGUGUUUCAUUUGGGAAACGUUUGGUAUCAUGUGAAAAAGUUAUGUUUCUUUCAAAUUGAGCAAAUCACUAUUUAACUUCCUUUUUCCAGCCUUGCCUGUUUGCUUCUGGGAGGCCUUAAGAAAAUAUAGAAGAUGUGUCAGACUCAAAAGAGGAAGUUAAGAGUCUGAAAUGAGAUGCCACAUUCCCCUUCCUUACUCCUAAGUAAUAUAGCUUGUUUGUUAAGAAACUUGCUUCUAUACACAUUGUCCAACUUGUUCUGUGAAAGUUGUAGCGUUCAAAUAAUGGGUAAUUUGUCACUAAGUUGUACUUUCAUGGAAAUAUCACUUGAGCAAUAACUUUCUAAUCUUUUUUUUUUGGAGACAGGAUCUCACUCUGUCACCCGGACUGGAGUACAGCGGCACCAUCUUGGCUUACUGCAGCCGUGACCUUCUGGGCUCUGGCAAUACUCCCACCUCAGCCUCCCUAGGAGCUGGGGCUACAGGCACAUGCCACCACGCCCAGCUAAUUUUUGUAGAGAUGGGGUCUCACCAACUUUCCAGGGCUGAUCUGGAACUUCUGAGCUCAAGUGAUCCACCCACCCUGGCCUCCCAAAGUGCUGGUAUUACAGGCAUCAGCCACCACGCCCCGCCAAGCAAGAACUUUUGCCCUCUCAGUCCUCCACGAUCAGACGGAGUUCUGAGUCACUUUUAUGCCCCCUUCACACAACUUCACGCCGACUGUUUUUCCUCGAGAUACAGCCUCUGCUCCGUGCCCUGACUCAAUGCCAGCUCCUAACUUGCAGUUGUGUUCCUUGCUGUGACAUCCUAUAUGCUGAAUGUCCAUGGAGAAGUGUGGCUCACUUUAACCCGACUAAUUUCUAAAAAAUAAGUCAUCACAACCAAAGAUGGGCAUCAUGUUAAAAGACAGCUUUCAACACAAUCCAUGUAGCCCUGAGGGUAAUACAAGGUACACCAGGUACCAGGUAUACCAGGUGUUUCCCAUGUGUGCUUCCAGACAGAUUCCAACAGUCAGUCAUGACCAGACAAAUAUGUUUCCGAUAAGGACAUAGGCUUGAGAUCACUCUGAAAAGCAAGGAAAGUUGUACCACAGCAUGUUUAUAUCAACUGAUCUUGGACUUGGGACAGUUUAAAAGAGAUGAAAACAACAGAGUAACUUCAUUUUUUCUUGCAACUCAUUCAAAAUGUAUGAAUUUUGCAACUUUUUUUUUUUUUUUUUUUUGAGACGGAGUCUCACUCUGUCGCCCAGGUUGGAGUGCAGCGGUCUUAUCUCGGCUCACUGCAAGCUCCGCCUCCCGGUUGACAUCAUUCUCCUGCCUCAGCCUCCCAAGUAGCAGGGACUACAGGCACCUGCCACCAUGCCUGGCUAAUUUUUUUGUAUUUUUAGUAGAGUUGGGGUUUCACCAUGUUAGCCAGGAUGGUCUGCAGAAUUAUUUUUAUGCAGAAUUUUAUAUAGGCUACAAAAGGCCUUCGCAGGAUUAGAGGCAUUCCUCCUCUCUAGCUGCCCAAUCAGUCUUGGUCACCCCAGCCCCUCUCUCUGCUGCCCCCCACUUCACCCCGUCAAUGGCGAGUCCCUUUCUUACUCCUCCAAGGUCCACUGUGUGCACAAAGCAUCUUCCCAUAUUCAGAUCUGUUUCCAGUCAAACAGGUGACAAAUUCAUUCCAAUGAAAUUAUCUGUGACCGUUCACCUCUCCCACAUGCACCAACGUCUUAAGCCAGAGAAGCAAUACUUGUUUGACUUGAGUGAGUAAUAAAUGAUCAUUAUAAAUGGAAGAGAGAGGGUCUUCCCGCAGCCCUAGAAGUUUAAACACAGAAUUUUCCAGCUGCUUCUGCCACUUGAAUGCCAUGUAUAUAUAUUUUGCUGAAUAAAAACCAGGCCAAUUAUUUUUUCAGAUUAGUAAUUUUACCUAUAUAUGAAAUGCCUUACAAAUGUGUAACAUUUAAAUUGCAGGUACUAUACAUUCAAUUUUCUUUCAUCAAGUGGUGUAAACUCACUAAAAAUCAGUAUUAUCGUAGAAAACACAAAAGUCCUAGUAGGCAUCCCAAUCAGUAAAAGGGAUGGCCAUGAAAAGGGGAUGUGGUCAUAAAAUCAGCAACAGAAUUUUCCUGGCUUUAUUGUCCCUCAGUGAAGCUACGCUGCAAACCACUGUCACUGACGUAUGCUCCCCUGUUUCAAAGCAAACUUCAAUCUCCUCCAUAACCAUGCCCAGAAAAAACUUUUCUGUAAUGAAUGGUAUACUUUUGUAAUUUAAUACAAUUACAUUUAUAUUUUAAAAUAUUCAAUAUCUCAUUUUUUGUUGAUAUUUUAUGUCACAUUCGCAAAGCAUUUGGCACACCUACUAUAAGAGUGAGUGAAAAUUUUUUUUAAAAAAAAGGAAGGGAGGGAGGAAGGAAGGGAAGGGAAGGGGAAGGGGAAGGGGGAGGGGAGGGGGGAAGGGGGAGGGGAGGGGAGGGGAGGGAGAGAAGGAAGGCAGCAAUCUUCCAAAGAAGUAAAAAGAGAUAUUAACCCCUACUGGUAAUGCUAAUUGACACAUUCUCCAAAAACUGAAUUAGCAUAAAAGUCACUGCCAAAAAAGCUACUGAUAUGAUUCAGUUCAUUUUUACUUAUUAGAAAAUGGGUUGAAUCAGAGUGAAAUCACCUCAAAUGUCCAUGGCAACUCUGAGUCAGGCUGCUUCAUGCUUUUAUCAUUGUCUCAUUUAGUAUGAAACAGAGAACAGUUAUAUAUAUAUAUAUCUAUACAUGUGUGUAUAGAUAUAUAAACUAUAUAUAGCUACAUAUAGAGUUAUAAAUAUAGUGUAUGUGUGUAUAUAUAGAGAGAGAGAAAGAAGUAGGCUUUUUAUAAACUAUCUUAAGCUAAAAAUAGAAGUAUAACGCUAUUCUAUGUUUGAAGAAAGACCAUUCUGUCAUGCCGUGACACUAGUUAAAUAUUGUGCAAUUAUUUUUUCAGUGAAUUUGAGACAUCUGAUGAUUAUUGAUCUCCUUCCAAAUGUCUCAACAUCAACAUCCAACAAAGCUGCUGAAAGGCAGUAAUCCAAUUUCAGAGCCUCGUAGAAGGCUGACUUCUAUCUGGUCAUCCCAUUCUUAAAUCACAGCAGUGGAUUCUGGACAAGACUGUAGGUUUCUUGUCUUUUGAAGCACAUGGAUCCCAUAUAUCAAAGGCCCGUAAGUUUUCUAUCAGUUAGAGCCCAGGCUGAAAUAAUAAGCAAAUUAGGGAACAAUUAGUGUCUUCAGGUAUCUACACAGUAGUAUAUGUGUGCAAUUUCAUGUUCCAAGGACACGAUCAGAAUUUGUGAAUCACUCACAAGUUACAAAAAGUCAAAUCACAAAAGGUAUGCUUUGCUCUGCCUUGCUUGCUUACGAAAUCAUAGUCUCUUAGAAGGAUUACAAAUAUUGAUAUUAACCCACACAGUAUGUGAGGUAGACUUAUCAGAGCACCAAUGACAUCUAUGAAACAGACACACUUAUCACAGGCAUGAGACUGCCUUUAAACAUUAUUAGCUGAUGUUGAAGAUAACACUCUCACUGUGUCCCAUUUCUAACUGAUUUUUUAAAAAGGAAAAUGUAUUUGAUAUUUAAUCAUUCCUAAUGACUACAUCUAGUUAGGUUACCAUCACAUUGCUGAAGAAUUUUAAUACUUGCUGGUGUCUUAAAACAAUUUAAUAUUCCAUGCUUAAGGUGUAGCUCUAAACUUCAGAUUCUUUGUUGUCUGAGGAAUUAACUCUUAAAAAGAAGAAAAUAGGCCGGGUGCGGUGGCUCACACCUCUAUCCCAGCACUUUGGGAGACCAAAGCAGGCAGAUCAUGAGGUCAUAAGAUCGAGACCAUCCUGGCCAACAUGGUGAAACCCCAUCUCUAGUAAAAACACACACACACACACACACAAAAUAACUGGGUAUGGUGGCGUGUACCUGUAAUACCAGCUACUCGGGAGGCUGAGUCACGAGAAUUGCUUGAACCCAGGAAGCGGAGGUUGCAGUGAGCCAAAAUUGCACCACUGCACUCCAGCCUCCAACACAGUGAGACUCCAUCUCAAAAAAAAAAAAAAAAAAGAAGAAGAAAAUAAAGUUAUAGUCUAUUUGUGCAGCCCACUCAAUCAAAGAUGCAAAUUUAUGGUGAGAUAAAUAUUCUUAAGCAAAUUAUAACACAAUAUUUAAAUAUACUUAAUAAUUAAAAGCUGGGAUAAAAUGAUAAAGGGAAGAAUCUGCUUCGAUGUAUCCUGUCCAUGCAUUCAGGUUCUUUGGAAAAUCGGUGUUUCUGAUAUAGGAGAUAAUAAUUCUCUGUGUGGAUUUACAGAAAGGAAAAGCCCCAGUUCUUUCAAGUUAUGGUCAUACUUGUCUGAUCCAAAUUAGGUUAAAAAUCUUCUUUAGAUAGAAAAAGUUAGGUGAGUAGGUAAAGCAUAUCCCUUAAGCAUUAUUUGAUGAGGAAAUAGACUGAAAAGGAUAAAUACUAGCCAUAGCAUUUACUGAAUCCAAAAGCCACAUUGAUUAGCACAGGCUCAUAGCACCAACAAAAUCAUGUAACCUGGAGAGAAGAAGACAUUUCGAUAAUGAUGAAAAUAUGAUUUAAAAAUUUCUGGAUGACUAAUGUUUAUAAGAACAACCGGAAUCUCCACUGAAAUAUUACCAAAGGCAGAUUGACAGGGAGAAAAACUUGCAUAAUGGUCACACACAGUGUUGAAGACAUCAUCCCAAAUACACUUCUUUCAGGGUUUAAGAGUUUCUAAUUUCCAAUGAACAGUGGCAUUGAUAAUCCAACCCUUCGUCCACUAGCAGUUACAGUCAUUGGUUAUGUGGCACAUCCAAAAGAACCUCAACAACCCCAGCAACUCAGCAUCCAUGGCUAGCUCAACAGCAGAACAAAUGAAUAGCCUAGAGAGUUGACUAUUCUUCUGAGCGUUUCAUUAACUCAGAUAUGUCUUAGGAGAUAAAAGAAGAAAGAAAAGUCUACAACUAAGUAACUCUCAAGGGACUGAUCCGACAAUAAAGUGCUUUAAAAUUUCCGAGUAAAGCAGUUAUUACACUAUUACAAACUUAAUAAAUCUGCCUAAUGUACUGAAUAGUUCUGCCUUAAAAAGUCACCAAAGAAGCAACAAGAAAAUGAAUUAUCUUUAAAAUGGCAUCAAACAUAUUUUCCGACAUCCAGGAAGAUCAUGCAGCUUCAAUCCAGUGGCCAUUUUGGUUGAAAAUAUUGACAAAUAAUUCUGUAUGAAAGCCACUCUAACGAGAUAAUGUUUGCAAACAAAAAUUAAAAUACAGCUUCUGUAUCAUCUGUCACCCAGGCUGGAGUGCAGUGGUGCGAUCUGAGCUCAAUACAGCCUCAACUUCCCAGACUUAUGUGAUGCUUCCUCCUUAGCCUCCUGAGUAGCUGAGACCACAGUCGCAAACCACCACAUCCAACUAAAAAGUAAUUGUGGUUUUCUCCAUUGAAAGUAAUGGUGAAAACCACAAUUACUUUUGCACCAACCUACUAAUUAUUUUUUGUUUGUUUGUUUCAUUUUGUUUUGUUUUGCAGAGACAGGUUUUGCCAUGUUGCCCAGGCUGGUCUCAAACUCCUGGGCUCAAGUGAUCCAUUUGCCGCAGUCUCCCAAAAUGCUGGGAUAACAGGUAUAAGCCACUAUGCCUGGCAGUCUUUUGCAGGCACACUAAGCAUCAUGAAUAUAAUCACCGCCAAGACACAGUUCCUACAUCAUGGACUUUCUAUGAGUGUAGGGCCUACAAACAACGGCCUUAGGACAAUUCUAGCCUGCUGCCUGUUUUUGUGUGACUGUGAUCAAAGAAUGAGUUAAAAAAAUCAAAAGAGGGAUGCUAUUUUAAUGGCAUAAACAUUAUAUAAAAUUCAAAUUUCUGUGUGUAGAAAUAAAGUUUUGUUGAAAAAUAGCCUCAUUUGGUUUACAUAUUGCCCAUGGAACUUUCUGCUAUAAUGGCAAGGUUGAGUACUUUCAACAGAGACUUUAUGGUCCACAAAGCCAAAAAUAUUUACUAUCUAGCACUUUGCAGAAGAAGGGUGGUGACCCCCUGGAAAGGUUGAAGAGAUAGUUAUGUAAGUGAUAAGUACAGUUGAUAACUCUCCACUGUUACUGCAGCAAAGACCAACUAGUAAGAAUUCUACAAAAUUUUACUUUAGCCUCACAAAACUAAAAGAUUAUGGCAUGCCUGUAUAUUUUCAGAAAAUGCCUGACUUUUACUAAUUCAAACAGAUGGUUUUCACUAUUCCUAAAUAGCAAGGAGCCAUCACUCAAAUCACAUGAUUGACUAUAGAUCCAUCUCUAUUAAGUCAUCUUUGAGGUGACCCAACAGUGUUCUUUAUGUUACCCAGUGGUUUGAUGAUUGACCAGAAAAUAUGCAACUGGAAUCAACAAAUAGAUAUAUUAAAACUAAACUAAAUAUCAUCAUGGCUACAUAGCGUUGCAUACAAUUGACUGUAACAACAUAGAUAUUAAAUGAUAAAAACAUAUAGAGUUCAUUAAGAAGAAUAAAUUAUUGAUUAUAGGGCCAGGCGUGGUGGCUCACACCUG